AUUGAACGCUGGCGGCAUGCUUUACACAUGCAAGUCGAACGGCAGCGCGGGCUUCGGCCUGGCGGCGAGUGGCGAACGGGUGAGUAAUGCAUCGGAACGUGCCCAGUAGUGGGGGAUAGCCCGGCGAAAGCCGGAUUAAUACCGCAUACGACCUGAGGGUGAAAGCGGGGGACCGAAAGGCCUCGCGCUAUUGGAGCGGCCGAUGUCGGAUUAGCUAGUUGGUGGGGUAAAGGCUUACCAAGGCGACGAUCCGUAGCUGGUCUGAGAGGACGACCAGCCACACUGGGACUGAGACACGGCCCAGACUCCUACGGGAGGCAGCAGUGGGGAAUUUUGGACAAUGGGGGCAACCCUGAUCCAGCCAUGCCGCGUGCGGGAAGAAGGCCUUCGGGUUGUAAACCGCUUUUGUUCGGGAAGAAAUCCUCUGGGCUAAUACCCCGGGGGGAUGACGGUACCGGAAGAAUAAGCACCGGCGAACUACGU
rnacentral:rRNA from 1 species